UUUUUUCCCCGUGCAAGAAGGUGUGUUGGGUGUGGUGACACAUGUGAGGAUGGCGGCAGCAAAAAAAAAGAAGCUGGACAUAAGGAGCUUUUUUUCAAAGAAAAGUACCCGUUCCCGAACCUGACCCGUCUUCUCUCCUGCUGAGCCCGGCAAGUCCUGUUCCCGUUUCCCCGUGUGUUCCAGUCCUGUGCCCCCGUGUAGGAAGGAUUCCCCGGCUUCAGACCCACGCCUUUGGACCUCGACUAUUCUUUCAGCCUGUUCCCUCUAACCCGUCUCCAGUGCCGUUAUUAAAGAGCGCUGUGAAACGCAUUUCUGGAUUCCUUUCCCCUUUUUGUGGGCAGUGUCACAAUAAUAUUGCCAUGGCUAGAAUUUUAUUGACAGUUCACCAAUAGACAAUCCACUUUGCACAAAUAGUUUUUAAAAUGCAUUCACUGACUUGGCAAACAUUAAUGAUUUGAUUCGAGAUUUGCACACUAAGACUCAGAAAAAGUGAAAUAAAAUGAUUGCUGUUUAAAUGGCAUGUGUUUAUCCUGUUUUGUCAGGUGACAGAACCUAAACAACUGUGCUGUGUAUCAGACAGUGAUGGAGAGAAGGGGUCACAGGGGACAGAAGCAGAUCAGCCAUGUUGUAGUUCAGGUGAAGAGGCAAGGUCACAGGAGGUGAAUCUGAAUGUUCUGUUAACGAGAGGCGAAGGCAUGUUUUUGGCUCCUUCAUAUAGGAGCAAUAGGCAUUGAGGGGGUGGAGUCAUAGGUCCCCACCAAUGUCCAGAGCAAAUCUACGCCCUUGCCUAAGUGCAAAAGAAAAGGAAACCAAAAGACAAACACUCCACCUCAC